rnacentral:rRNA from 1 species
GUGAACGCUGGCGGUAGGCCUAACCCAUGCAAGUCGCACGGCAGCACAGUAAGAGCUUGCUCUUACGGGUGGCGAGUGGCGGACGGGUGAGGAAUACAUCGGAAUCUACUUUUUCGUGGGGGAUAACGUAGGGAAACUUACGCUAAUACCGCAUACGACCUACGGGUGAAAGCAGGGGAUCUUCGGACCUUGCGCGAUUGAAUGAGCCGAUGUCGGAUUAGCUAGUUGGCGGGGUAAAGGCCCACCAAGGCGACGAUCCGUAGCUGGUCUGAGAGGAUGAUCAGCCACACUGGAACUGAGACACGGUCCAGACUCCUACGGGAGGCAGCAGUGGGGAAUAUUGGACAAUGGGCGCAAGCCUGAUCCAGCCAUACCGCGUGGGUGAAGAGGGCCUUCGGGUUGUAAAGCCCUUUUGUUGGGAAAGAAAAGCAGCAGGUUAAUACCCCGCUGUUCUGACGGUACCCAAAGAAUAAGCACCGGCUAACUUCGUG